rnacentral:rRNA from 1 species
UACAGAGGUCUCAAGCGUUGUUCGGAUUCAUUGGGCGUAAAGGGUGCGUAGGCGGCGCGGUAAGUCGGGUGUGAAAUCUCGGAGCUUAACUCCGAAACUGCAUUCGAUACUGCCGUGCUUGAGGACUGGAGAGGAGACUGGAAUUUACGGUGUAGCGGUGAAAUGCGUAGAUAUCGGGAGGAACACCUAUGGCGAAGGCAGCUCGCUGGGACGUUACUGACGCUGAGGCACGAAAGCGUGGGGAGCAAACAGG